rnacentral:rRNA from 1 species
GAUGAACGCUGGCGGCGUGCUUAACACAUGCAAGUCGAGCGAGAAAAGUUCUUCGGAGCUUUUCUAGUGGCGGACGGGUGAGUAACACGUGGGCAACCUGCCUCAUAGAGGGGAAUAGCCUUCCGAAAGGAAGAUUAAAACCGCAUAACAUUGUUGGAAGGCAUCUUUUAACAAUCAAAGGAGCAAUUCGCUAUGAGAUGGGCCCGCGGCGCAUUAGCUAGUUGGUGAGGUAACGGCUCACCAAGGCGACGAUGCGUAGCCGACCUGAGAGGGUGAUCGGCCACAUUGGAACUGAGACACGGUCCAGACUCCUACGGGAGGCAGCAGUGGGGAAUAUUGCACAAUGGGGGAAACCCUGAUGCAGCAACGCCGCGUGAGUGAUGAAGGUCUUCGGAUUGUAAAGCUCUGUCUUUAGGGACGAUAAUGACGGUACCUAAGGAGGAAGCCACGGCUAACUACGUGCCAGCCGCCGCCGUAAAAC